rnacentral:lncRNA from 1 species
CCGCUCAGCCCGUCCUCGGGGCGCGGCGUGGGCUCCGCGGGCGGCCGGUGAGGGGGGGCGGCGCGGAGGAGGCCCCGGGGGUCGCCGCGCGGGCCGCACGCACGUGGAGCGCUGGGGAGCGGACGCCGCGGCCGGAGCGGGAGCAGACAUAGAUUUCUUGUAAGAAAUGAAGCACCCGGGUACAUGCAGAGAGGCUAACAACAGUAAACAAAUAUUGAUUGCGCCUAGCCAACUCCUUUGAGAUAAAAGGCAUCGGACCCCAAGUCCUCCAGUCGGUUCCAUGAUUAAAUGAUUCUAGAGCUGGCUUCCUUACUGCAGGCUGAGCAGCUCCCUUGUUCUGGUUGGAGGUAUUUUCUGUCUUGGACAUUCGACAUCUUGAAAGCAAGCUCCUGUGUUGGUCAUCAUGCCCGGUCCAUAGCUGCUGUCCUGGGACGUUGCCUUCAGCCUCCUCCUGGACUGACUUUCUUUGCUCCCCUGGCCUUCCAUUUCCUGGGUCUCAUCUCUUGUUUUGGUGAGGUGCUCAUAGUCGCUGUACAGAGAUCAGGCUGGGCAGUUCAGUUACAGAACCUCUGA